rnacentral:lncRNA from 1 species
UUCACUUCUUCUCUUCUCUACAAUCUGGUUUGGGAGCUCUCUCAACUGAUUGGAAUUUCUUGUAGAAAAGAUAGCAAGGACCAAUAGUGAGCAUACUUUCAUUCUUUUUAUUGCUUUCUUAGUUUGAAACUCAAAUAUAGUUUGACUUUCAGCUUUGACCACGAGUUGGUUAACGAGAAGUUCGUUUGAACUUCGCAACGUGAGCGUAAUCACAUUGGUUAUAGUCCUUAGUGAAUAUACCUACUGAUUACCACGUUGACUAGGUGUAGUGAUACCAAAUCAGUACUAUUAGGUAUCAAAACACUUUGUUUUGAUACCAAAUCAGUAGGUUAAACAUGUUUUGACAUGUUCAGCUCGUCACUUUUAGUUAGUGCUUGUUUAGAGUCGUAAGUCGAGCGGUCUAAACCAUCGCUUAGACUUUCGAACUCGACCCGUUUGGUCGAUCUCUAGGAUCCGACCAAGCACGGUUAGUGACCAUAAUUGCAUAGGGAAUAACCUUCCGAGGUUAUACCUUAUGGUCACCGAGUUUACGUAGUUGUAUGAUAGGUAAAUUAUAUGCCUUAGGUAAAUUACCAAAAUGCCCUUUUCAUGCAUAAUUGGACUUUAAGCAUAUGUAACCUAACUUUUGUCACCUAAACUGAUUAUGCAACCUAUUUAAACAUGUUUAGGCAUAUAAUACUUGUCAUAGGACUAGUUAGACGUCUCGAACGCGCGUUUGCGCGCACGACGCGUUAAAGUAGCGUAAGCUACCUAAACGGGUCGCAAUGGGUCGAAAGCACUUAGGUUAGGUUCCGAUUUAGAAUGUAGGCUUUGUUAAACCAUAUCACAUGAGUUCCUACACUCAUUUGGUUUACAAGACCUCAUUCUUUCCGAUUUUCCGAUUUAGAUUGAGGAUACUUUGCACUUCAAUGUGAGUACAUAGUUCCCCUAUUUUACUGUUUUCAAUUGUUUUGGGGUGAUUCAUAUGUACAAAACGAUUUCAAGGUUUAAACGAUGAUUUCAAAAACGAUUAAGAUGGUUUAUACUAAACUAAUAACGAUUUCAAUAAGGUGAACAAGACUUUUUGGUUGUAAUUACAUAACGAAUGACAUUCAUUAGCUUUGUCCGAACCGACCAGAAUUAGGUUAUGGUACCAUAGGAUCUGACAAAUCCCGUUAUCAGACUACACCCAUGGUUAUGUGUGGGGGUUAUGUAGGUAACGACCGAAUCUGUGGUUGUUAACUUACCCUUUGGUGGUUUGUUAAUGCGAGAAACGAGUUAGAUGAGUCACAAGGUUUGAAUGUUAUUAGCGAGACGACCAAAAGUAGUUUCACUAUUAAAACGAAUACGAUUUUGAGACGAGUUAAACGAUUUGAGACGACUUCAACGAGAUAAACGAUUUGGAUAACGAUUGGUUUUGGGUAGUGAUUAGAUAAUGGGACGGGUGUAGUAUGAUAGAAGCAUGGUAGAUACGCCGCUGGUACAUCUUAUAUAUAAGUGCUUCUAUCAUAUUACAUUACGUGUCAGUAUUUAGUUCAAUAGGGAUUCGAUUUUGAAACGAUGUCACACAACGAGGUUUUUGAAACGAUAUAAACCAUACGAGUUUUAUUAACAAGUUUUUUACGAGAUAUUUACAAGUUGUUAUACUAAAACAAAUGUUUUUGGGUUAAGAGUCAUGGUUACGAGAUUUUAUAAGCUAUAACCCUCUUGAUUUGAGUUGGUUAAUUAUGUUGCAAUACACUUUUCAAAACGAGGUUUGUAUUUUGACUCUUGUAGUCUAACGAGGUACUGCAACAUAUAAACGAGCCACGGAUCCGAUACUCCCAUAAAACCUAUGUACUCGCCAGCAUUUCUUUGCUGACUUUAUUUUUACAUAUGUUUCAGGUGGUAUUGCUUGAUGUUGCUUGCUAGGAAGCUUGUGUCACAUAGGACCUGGACGAGGCCUUAGUGACUUAAAAACAGUUAUAAACAAUAUGUAGCAUCUUAGUUUUGGUUUAAAGACAAUGUACAUUGCAUAAUAUUUCAAUAAAACGAAACUUU